GUGCUUGCUUUGGCAACACAUAUACUAAAAAAAAGGAACAAUACAGAGAAGAUUAGCAUGGCCCUUAUGCAGGGAUGACAUAUGGAAUACUUCAACUCUGUGAAGCAUUCCAUAUUUUA
rnacentral:snRNA from 1 species